CCAAAAUAUACCAAAACAAAUACUUGCAUGAAAGAUCUCCUCCAAAUAAGCAACGGAUAAUUUGAAGAAGUCAGCUCCAGAUCAUCAUCUCAAACGUUGCAUGGCUAAUGACGUGCCCAUGCAUAUUCCUAGCAACGGAUAAUUUGAAGAAGUCAACUCCAAAUCAUCAUCUCAAAGGUUGCAUGGCUAAUGACGUGCCCAUGCAUAUUCCUAGCAACGGAUAAUUUGAAGAAGUCAACUCCAAAUCAUCAUCUCAAAGGUUGCAUGGCUAAUGACGUGCCCAUGCAU
rnacentral:lncRNA from 1 species